rnacentral:rRNA from 1 species
AGUGAACGCUGGCGGUAGACCUAACACAUGCAAGUCGAACGGCAGCGCAGUAAGAGCUUGCUCUUACGGGUGGCGAGUGGCGGACGGGUGAGGAAUACAUCGGAAUCUACUUUUUCGUGGGGGAUAACGUAGGGAAACUUACGCUAAUACCGCAUACGACCUACGGGUGAAAGCAGGGGAUCUUCGGACCUUGCGCGAUUGAAUGAGCCGAUGUCGGAUUAGCUAGUUGGCGGGGUAAAGGCCCACCAAGGCGACGAUCCGUAGCUGGUCUGAGAGGAUGAUCAGCCACACUGGAACUGAGACACGGUCCAGACUCCUACGGGAGGCAGCAGUGGGGAAUAUUGGACAAUGGGCGCAAGCCUGAUCCAGCCAUACCGCGUGGGUGAAGAAGGCCUUCGGGUUGUAAAGCCCUUUUGUUGGGAAAGAAAAGCAGCAGGUUAAUACCCCGCUGUUCUGACGGUACCCAAAGAAUAAGCACCGGCUAACCUCGUG